GAUGAACGCUGGCGGCGUGCCUAAUACAUGCAAGUCGAGCGAACAGACGAGGAGCUUGCUCCUCUGACGUUAGCGGCGGACGGGUGAGUAACACGUGGAUAACCUACCUAUAAGACUGGGAUAACUUCGGGAAACCGGAGCUAAUACCGGAUAAUAUAUUGAACCGCAUGGUUCAAUAGUGAAAGACGGUUUUGCUGUCACUUAUAGAUGGAUCCGCGCCGCAUUAGCUAGUUGGUAAGGUAACGGCUUACCAAGGCAACGAUGCGUAGCCGACCUGAGAGGGUGAUCGGCCACACUGGAACUGAGACACGGUCCAGACUCCUACGGGAGGCAGCAGUAGGGAAUCUUCCGCAAUGGGCGAAAGCCUGACGGAGCAACGCCGCGUGAGUGAUGAAGGUCUUCGGAGCGUAAAACUCUGUUAUUAGUGAAGAACAAAUGUGUAAGUAACUAUGCACGUCUUGACGGUACCUAAUCAGAAAGCCACGGCUAACUACGUG
rnacentral:rRNA from 1 species